AAAAAGCAAAAAGCAGCAUCUGUUGUCCCCUUCCUUUCCUGCCGCACAGCUGAAUGGUUCUUACCUGCCGCAGCGACAGACCACGCCUUCAGCACACAGGUGAACUCUGGCCUCUGUGUUCACAAUAGAUAAGGCAGACCGAAUGGGUGACAAAGCGCUACUGAAAUGUCCUAGCAACUCCUUCAAAGUUCAACCUUCAAUCACGUUCUUUAAACCCGUAGUGCCUUCCGGUGUCAGAAAGACGUCUCCGGAGAGCGAGGACACGCAGGCCACCAUUGGUCACUCCUCAAGAGCACUUUGCGUGGCGAAACAUCACCACGCCUAAUCGCGAUAACCUUUAUGCCGCGUAUUUAUUCAGUACUUCAUUCCUGCCCGUGUGAAGCGGCGAUCACGAGGAAACAAGGGCCCCCAGUUGCAUUCUGCGCUUUGUGGGGAUAUUCUUCGGCGUUCGAUAGGCCAAAACAGGGCCACUUCAUCUGUGCAAGGAAAUAUCGUCUUUAUUUCUGCUGCUGCUUCUACAGAGUGUCUGAGAUCAGGCAGACAUAAAGCAGUUUGUGCCAACAUGCGUCUGGGCCUAUCUGAAUAAAGCAAAUACAGUAGCAUUUGCAUGAAUUAAAAAAGGGACCAGCAUUUUCUCAUAUGGAAAUAGAGCAUGAACAUCUGGCCAGCUGCACUCCUCUGGUUAAACUCCUAACACACUUUUAUUGAAUUAUUGUUUAAUCGAGUAGAAUAAUUAGUUCUGACACUCACGUAAACAGCAAUGGAAAAGAAAUCAAGUUUAUUACCUGGAGUGACGCAUUUUGACCAAAGGACAUACUCAGAUACUUAUUCUCAGUCAGGUCGACUGAUCCAAAUGAAGAAGAAAGCAAACAAGAAGCAGCAGGUUGCAGACAACAAGCACACAGAAGUUCUUACAAAAAGAGAGGAGAGAAUUCCUUUUGGAUCGGAGACACUGGAGGGAAAGUGUGACGGGCACUGGUUGAACUAUAACCCCUGGCUGCCUUUGGAGGACGUGAAACAGAUUCUGUUCCCUUGAUCCUCCAGAUGUUCCUGACGCACAGAAAAGCAGAAACACUCAACAUGGAGACCUCAAUGAUUAGGUUUGUACGUUUGAAAAUGACAGCGACUGAGAAUCCUUCCCAUAUGUGGGAAUGGAACUGGAUAAGAUCUUAAGGUCAAUGACUCAUUUUUUGCAGAACAGAUAUUUCUUUGAAUCGGAUACCAGCAUCAACACAGGAUGAAGGGAAGCUUUUAUUUAGGUAAUAUUACGUUUUCACUCCAAUAACUAUUCUGAUAAAUUUAAGAGAAAGCUCUGAUUGGCGGCGUUAGGCUCUCAGAUCAUGGCGCUCGCUCUGUAACCAUGACAAGCAUUGAGAGACAGACACACACACACACACACACACACACACACACACACACACACACACACACACACACACACACACACACACACACACACACACACACACACACACACACACACACACACACACCUCAUGAAUAACAAGUGAAAAUAAAACAGUUAAACCUUUAAACCUCAUUGGGCCUUAGAAUAAAUAAAAUAAUAAUAUCCUUAACAUCGGUUAUAUCUUCCACAUACUUAGGACAGGAGUAAAGGUCUCUAUCACAAACCAACACGCGAGGAGCAUUAACUACACAACAAUUAAUAAGACAUUAACUAUUGGUCGAUAAUCAUACCAGCAUGCUAGCAUUUAAGAUAAUUAUUAUUAUAUUAGCCUCUGAUCUACCAAAUUGUACGGGCAUGAUUGACCUCGUCUUUUCAUAUCACAAAGAGGUAAUAUUAAAGCUCGUUACCGUGGCAACCCCUCUUUAUCUAACUUUCCGAUGGGAAUCCGCAUCACCGGCAAAUUUUCAAACCCCUAAAGACAAACCUACCGAUGCGACUCCUCCAUCCAUAAGUCCAGUAGACAGAUACUAACAUGGCAACGUCCGACUCUCUCUCUCACACACACACACACACACACACACACACACACACACACACACACACACACACACACACACACACACACACACACACACACACACACACACACACACACACACACACACACACACACGUUGCUGUGCUAAACACACACCUAUUUCUUGUUGUUACACACACCUACUUCAAUAGGUGACACACCUGUGUAGACCGUGAAAUAAAUACCACAGGUCUAAUUCUCUCACACACACAAACAAACAAACAAAAACCCCAAAGGGUUGAAUGCUGAUGUUCGUAACAAGCGUUCAGGUCACCAAAUUGCAACGUUCCGAUUGGACUGGGAGGGUUGGUAGGGUUGAGCUCCAGUUGAAACCACUGCAGGCUCGGCUGUGUUCAGUAACAAGCCUCAUCUGAACAGAAUCCCGCCGGGCCGGACCUGCGGCUUACCAGAACGGUGUUUCCACAGCAGGUUGUUUUUUCAGGAGCUCCUGGACCUUUUAUACAAAGCUGGUUUUCCGCAUGCAACCUCCUUUCUCUCCCCAUCACUUUGCAAUGUUUGGAGCUGCGCAAAAUGGGAAUGAAACAUAAACAACUGCAAUGAACUUCAUUAAGUCUGCAGCAGCUAGAAGGUGUCCGCUCUUUGCUGACCAACAUCCUUAGUUUAGUUUCUUGCCUUACAGACAUUUUAGUGGCACAAACGGUAGUGGCUGUGACACUUCAGGAGAAAAUUUAAGGGACCUCCAAUGUACUUUGAACUCUCUGAAUAUUGUUUCAGCAGAGACCCGGUUGCCUUUGAAUUAGAUCUACCGAGCAGCUACUUUACGGCAGGUCACAGCUAUAUUGUUCAUAUUUUUUGCUUAUUGUUUCCCUUGUUUGGCUGCAUUGCAGGCGUUGCAGUUCAGGACCAGAUCAUCGGUGUCCCUCUCAUUUGUCUCAUACUACCACACUGUUGCAGAUCACGUACUAAAUGAUAUUGGUGGCGACAUUUAUAGGUAAGAACAUGAGGUAGAUGCCAAAUCUGAGAGUCGUCUUCACUUUCACAAACGAGCCUGACCCUGGCAAUUGAAUUCAAAUGUUUUGAAAUGUUGCUUUCAAAUCAUCAUCAUCAUCAUCUGCUGCUGUGUAUCGUCUAUAGUCACAACAGGACACAUUGCUUCUGAGGGAAGUGGGUUGGAAGUACCGAUCACAAGACCAUUACCAAGAGCGAGUUGAAAAUGUCAACAGGCCACAAACUUUUACAAAGUACGACCGCGACUAUGAAAUCAUUCAUUUGACCUCAAUCACAAGAUGAAACUCCACUGCUCUGAACCCGGAGCGUUUUCCAAGUGGUCUGACUGUGGUGGGCAUGCGAUCCAGCACCACAUGCAAUGCUUUCAAACAAAUUCGCAGUGUGCCAACGUGUUGCUCUUGAUAGCAAUAUUUAUCUUAAUUAACUAAUAAGUUAGGCUGAAAAAAAAAAAAAAAGCAUGCAGGGGGAAAUUCAUCGGGGGAAACACAUUACAGCACACCUGUAAUGGUCUUUGUAAGGUCAAUGUACUGAUGUUGUUUAGCCGUUGUAGUGUGAUUCAUU
ensembl:lncRNA